AGUAAUGUCUGGGAAACUGCCUGAUGGAGGGGGGAGUAACUACUGGAAACGGUAGUUAAUACCGCAUAACGUCGCAAGACCAAAGAGGGGGGACCUUCGGGGCCUCUUGCCAUCGGAUGUGCCCAGAUGGGAUUAGCUAGUAGGUGGGGUAACGGCUCACCUAGGCGACGAUCCCUAGCUGGUCUGAGAGGAUGACCAGCCACACUGGAACUGAGACACGGUCCAGACUCCUACGGGAGGCAGCAUG
rnacentral:rRNA from 1 species